GCUUUCAAAGUCUGAAAGGUAGACUGAAGUAAAAGAUAAACAGCUAGAGUAUAAGGCAUAUUUCACAAAGAAGAAGAGAGGUUUCUAUCAAGGUUGUUUUGCAAGCAAUUCCCACCUAUACGAUGGCAUGUUUUCUCUUGCCAAAAUCUUUAUGUAUGGAGUUGGAAAACAUAAUGGGUUCCUUUUGGUGGAAAAAAAAGUCAUGGAAAGUGAGGUAUGCACUAGUGUGAUUGGAAGUCUUUAUGUGCGC
rnacentral:lncRNA from 1 species